GACGAACGCUGGCGGCGUGGAUUAGGCAUGCAAGUCGAACGGUAUCAUCCUUUCGGGGGUGAGAGAGUGGCGAACUGGUGAGUAACACGUAGGUUAUCUACCCUCAAGACGGGGACAACCCAGGGAAACUUGGGCUAAUACCGGAUGUGAGCAACUUUUAGUUGUUUGAAAGGUGGCGUAAGCUGUCGCUUGGGGAUGAGCCUGCGUCCUAUUAGUUAGUUGGUGAGGUAACGGCUCACCUAGGCAAUGAUAGGUAGGCGGCCUUAACGGGUGGUCGCCCACACUGGGAUUGAGAUACGGCCCAGACUCCUACGGGAGGCAGCAGUCGAGAAUAGUCUACAAUGGUCGGAAGACUGAUAGUGCGACGCCGCGUGAACGAUGAAUCCCUUCGGGGGUGUAAAGUUCUUUUUAUAUGUGAGCAGUGCUUCUUAUAUUAACAGUAUGGGGAGAGAGAUAUUAGCAUAUGAAUAAGCAACGGCUAACUCCGUGCCCAGCAGCCGCGGUAAA
rnacentral:rRNA from 1 species